AGGACGAACGCUGGCGGCGUGCUUAACACAUGCAAGUGGAGCGACGAACCAGGGCUUGCCCUGGGGCAGAGCCGCGAACGGGUGAGUAACACGUGGGUUACCUGCCUUGAUGACCGGGACAACCCGAGGAAACUCGGGCUAAUACCGGAUGUGCCCGCAAGGGGAAAGGAAGCUUCGGCCUCCGCAUCAAGAUGGGCCCGCGGCCCAUUAGCUUGUUGGUGAGGUAACGGCUCACCAAGGCUUCGAUGGGUAGCUGGUCUGAGAGGACGAUCAGCCACACUGGGACUGAGACACGGCCCAGACUCCUACGGGAGGCAGCAGUGGGGAAUCUUGCGCAAUGCGCGAAAGCCUGACGCAGCAACGCCGCGUGGAGGACGAAUGCUUUCUGAGUUGUAAACUCCUUUCAGCAGGGACGAUUGUGACGGUACCUGCAGAAGAAGCACCGGCCAACUACGCGCCAGCAGCCGCGGU
rnacentral:rRNA from 1 species